UACGGAGGAUCCAAGCGUUGUCCGGAUUUAUUGGGUUUAAAGGGUGCGUAGGCCGCACGGUAAGUCAGAGGUGAAAUCCCGGAGCUCAACUUCGGAAUUGCCUCCGAUACUGCCGUGCUUGAGGACUGGAGAGGAGAUUGGAAUUCACAGUGGAGCAGUGAAAUGCGUAGAUAUUGUGAGGAACACUAGUGGCGAAGGCGAAUCUCUGGACAGUUCCUGACGCUGAGGCACGAAGGCCAGGGGAGCAAACGGG
rnacentral:rRNA from 1 species